AUGAACGCUGGCGGCGUGCCUAAUACCUGCAAGUCGAGCGAACAGACGAGGAGCUUGCUCCUCUGACGUUAGCGGCGGACGGGUGAGUAACACGUGGAUAACCUACCUAUAAGACUGGGAUAACUUCAGGAAACCGGAGCUAAUACCGGAUAAUAUAUUGAACCGCAUGGUUCAAUAGUGAAAGACGGUUUUGCUGUCACUUAUAGAUGGAUCCGCGCCGCAUUAGCUAGUUGGUAAGGUAACGGCUUACCAAGGCAACGAUGCGUAGCCGACCUGAGAGGGUGAUCGGCCACACUGGAACUGAGACACGGUCCAGACUCCUACGGGAGGCAGCAGUAGGGAAUCUUCCGCAAUGGGCGAAAGCUUGACGGAGCAACGCCGCGUGAGUGAUGAAGGUCUUCGGAUCGUAAAACUCUGUUAUUAGGGAAGAACAAAUGUGUAAGUAACUAUGCACGUCUUGACGGUACCUAAUCAGAAAGCCACGGCUAACUACGUG
rnacentral:rRNA from 1 species